rnacentral:rRNA from 1 species
AAUGAACGUUGGCGGCAUGGAUUAGGCAUGCAAGUCGAGCGAGAAGAGUUUUGAAGCUUGCUUUAGAACUCGGACAGCGGCGAAAGGGAGAGUAACGCGUAGUUAUGUGCCCUAGGGUCCGGAAUAGCCACGGGAAACUGUGGGUAAUGCCGGAUAACAUCCCCGGAUCAAAGGUGUGAUUCCGCCCUAGGAGCAGACUGCGUCCUACUAGCUAGUUGGUGGGGUAAUGGCCCACCAAGGCAAUGAUGGGUAGCGGGUGUGAGAGCAUGACCCGUCUCACUGGGACUGAGACACUGCCCAGACACCUACGGGUGGCUGCAGUCGAGAAUCUUCGGCAAUGGGCGAAAGCCUGACCGAGCGAUGCCGCGUGCGGGAUGAAGGCCCUCGGGUUGUAAACCGCUGUCGUAGGGGAGGAAGGUUCCGUGAAGAGCGGAAUUUGACCUAUCCUAGGAGGAAGUACGGGCUAGUUCGUGCCAGCCGCUGCGGUAA